rnacentral:lncRNA from 1 species
AGGCUCACUUGCUCCCCGAUCCGUUUCCCCUCUUUCUUCUUGGUUUGCUCCUCUACCCAUAGUGCGAUGCGAUUCUGCAUGGCUGAAGGAAGAAUAGCUUUCAUCCGUGGAAGAUCUCGGUUAUUGAGAGCGGGGAGUCCUAAACCGAGGAGAUGGGAGAAGCUAAGAGAGGGAAGCGUUCCAUGGCCCGUCGCUUCUGUCGAUCGAUCGUCUCUUUGCGUUUUCUUGUUUCGUUCUGUUGCUUUUCUGUUUUUCCUCCCACAAUAAAAUGUUGGGGAUGAGAGAUCCAAGAAGGUAUCAGGCUCUGUCCAUUUUCCCGAUCCAUAUCCUAGUGGGUAAGAGAUGAUGUUAACCUAAUCAGGCUGUGGAAACUGGGUCGAUCAAGGUUUCUUGUUUCUUUUUCCCGUUACCUAAUGAAUCUUGGAACGAAGACAUCGAAGAAGAUACGAGAUAAUGUAUGGUUCCAUGGCUUCUUCCGAUCGAUCUUUCUUGCGUUGCUCGAUUUGUUUUCUCUAAUCCAACUUAAUCUUGGCUUUUCGAUUGCGACAACAGGUACGUACAUAUAUUUAUAUAUAUAUAUAUAUGUAUACAUAUAUAUAUAUGGGCGGAUCUGUGCUUUGGUUCAUCGAUCAUCUUCGUUUGUUUUUUCUUAAACUUUUUCAUUUCGAUCUUCCUCUUUAACUUUAUUUAAUUUCCUUAGGUCGUCACUUCGGUUUGCGCUCAAGAUUUUGGGUGCGGAGGCAAAUUCCGACACUCACAACGGCGACAUUGCAGAUGCUCGACGCCAUCGAAUCAGAUCUCGCAUAUGGGAAGGAGGUACACGGAUCCACACAAGAAGUGUAAAUGUGUACACGGAUCCACACUAGAAUUUUCUUUUUCUGUUUUUGUUGGGGAUGGAGGAGCAAGGA